rnacentral:lncRNA from 1 species
ACACUGCUGUUAUCCUGUUCUUUUUUCAAGGUGCCCAGAUUUCGUAUUGUUCAAACACACAUGCUUUACAAUUUGUGCAGUUAACGCAAUAAUCACACGGUCCUGAGGUGACAUACAUCCUCCCCAGCUUGCGAAGAUGAUAGGAUUAAGAGAUUAAAGUAAAGAUAGGCAUAGGAAAUCACAAGGGUAUUGAUUGGGGAAUUGUUCUUAAAGAAUAGCAUUCAUCUGUAGUCCCUUUGUGAAAAAGACAGAAAUAUUAUUACAUGGAUUUCAGGAUGCUAUAAAUCUUAACUUAAAAGCAUUUGCUGAUAUAAAAUGAUGUUUUCAUUGUGAAGAUAAAAUAGUAUAUAUAAAUGU